rnacentral:misc_RNA from 1 species
GAUGAAGAACGUAGCGAAAUGCGAUACUUGGUGUGAAUUGCAGAAUCCCGUGAACCAUCGAGUCUUUGAACGCAAGUUGCGCCCGAAGCCAUUAGGCCGAGGGCACGCCUGCCUGGGCGUCACACGUCGUUGCCCCCCCAUCUACUCCUUCGGGAUUGCGGGGGGCGGAUGAUGGCCUCCCGUGCGCCUCGCCGCGCGGUUGGCAUAAAUGCCAAGUCCUCGGCGACGCACGCCACGACAAUCGGUGGUUGCGAAAACUCGGUUGCCCGUCGUGUGCGGUCGUCGCGCAUCGAGGGCUCGAAAAAAUUGCCGGGUUCCGGCUCGGCUUUCAACGCGACCCCAGGUCAGGCGGGGUUACCCGCUGAAUUUAAGCAUAUCAAUAAGCGGAGGA